AUAUGCACACAUGUGUCAGUGAGGUCACCUGUACCAGGAAGAAAGCCACUCAAAGCCUUUUGCUGCGGCUGCAGAAGGAACGGUGCUGGGCUGGGGGUGGAGACCUGGGCUGGAAGGAGCACCUGGGCCACCUUGCCCUCAGCCUCGCUGUCUUUGCCCAUCUUGUAUCUCACACACUCAUUCCUCUGUUGAUACCGUUUCCUGAAACACCUGCUGUGUGUAGGCUCCCGCUAGGCUAGGUGCUCAGAAGUCAAAUGUCAGUUGAGUUCCCUAUUGUCACGGGCCCCCGUCUAGUGAGGAAGACAGGACCCUAACGGUCCAUCACCAUCCAACCCCCAUCACAGCGGGACGUGCUCAACGCAGAGGGUGUCAUGCUGCUGGCAGGGCUGAAGCUGUGUCUUCCGAGCCUCUAGAAGGUUACCCUGCCUCCCCAGGAGAGCAGAAUCCUCACCUGCCUGGCUCGCCGCUGGAGCCCCCUCGCUCGACAUAUGAGCAGGACUGAGGUGGGGAGAAGCUACAUAACUUGCCCAGGUCACCCACCCAGCAGGGAGCAAGGCGUGGUUGUCUGGCUCUGGACCGGUCGCUCAGAACCACAAACGGUGGGUGCUUGAGAAACAUCUACUAAAGGAAGACCCAGGGGAACGUUUGGGCGGAGGCUGGAAGCUGGGCUGCUGCUUACGGCGGAGCCCUGGGGGAGGGCAUGGCAGGGUGGUUCCAGGCUAGGAGCAGGGGUGUCAAUAGGCGGCCGUGCAGGCUUCAUCCUAUUGUGCUGUGCUUUCAGCCUGUGGGGUGUGAUCAGCUGGAUGAUUUUAGGGAGCAGUGAGGUAAGGGACCUGGCACUAAAUAGCACCGAGUCACAUGGCGAGAAAGACAUUCCAUUUUCAAUUACCCAUCAGUCCUGAACAAACAGAUUCAGUCUCAGCCUAAUGAUGACUAAUGUCUUUUUUUUUUUUUUUUUAAACAGAAAGAGCAGCUCUUGGGUUCAGAGCCACAGUUUUAGAAUAUUAUUUUUCACUGCAUUCAUUGUCACCUUCUGCUUACUCCAAGUGACAUGGUGUUUCAACCAGUGUUGGGUUUAUGGCAAACGUCUGAAAUCCCCAAAUCACAGUGGCCUCCGUAAGAGAAGUUUAUUUCUCUCAUACAAAUGCAGUCCUGAGGUAAACCUUCCAAGGUCAGUAGGGAGGUUCCAUGACCAUCAGGAAACCAGCCUCCUUCUAUCUUGUUGCUAUACUCCCUCAUGGUCUAAUGUAGCUGCCCAUGCUCCAGCUAUCAUGUUUGCAUUCCAGCUAGAAGGAUGGAAGAAGGGGAUGCUGAAGUGCACAUCCUCCUCCUUUUAAAAAUACUUCUAGGAAGUUCCAACCACCGCUUCUGCUCAUGUGCAGAACUUCGGUUGAAUGGCCAUAACUUGCUACAAGUGGGGUUGGGAAAUAUAGCCUGGAUCUGGGCAGCUAAAAGUCAGGGCUCUAAUGUAAAGUGAGAAGGUGUGAACAGACAGUGGGGACACCAGCCACGUCUGCCACAGAUUGUUUUCCUUUUGUGAUGAAGACAUCCUAUUCCCUUUUCAUUUAAAAUUCAGUGAGGAAAGAGAGUCACUUCGAAGGAAAAGGUAAGUAAAUAAAAGAACAGGUGGCACAUGGCUAAGGCAAAAAUUUCCAAGCUGGCCCUGGGAUCACUGAGAUUUGGGAAACACACUGUGAAGACAGGAACACGAAGUGAGUGUGUAAGCUGAGAAUCAGGCUGGCUCUCAGGCCCGGGUGUGGACAGGGGCCUGCGGCUGGAGAGAUCCCAGGAGAGUCGGAGAGGAAGCAAGUGCUUGUUCCAGAAGAGAGGCUGAGAGGGUCUGAGCCAGGCCGCGGAGCUGGAGGCCAGAAGUGUGGGGUGAGGGCAGCCACCUGCCUGCUGAGAAGCGCCAGGAAGGCUUGCAGGCUCCCGCCGGCCUGUUUGCUUUGGAGGUAGGCACUGAGGUCAGGGGCCCCUGAUGGGGUUUCAGAAGAAAGGGAAAGGUUUGGAGCCAAGGUGGUGAAGUUAAAGGGGAACAGGUCAGAAGUCAGUAGCUCAGAGGCUGCUGGGAGGAACCCACGAGGUCAGCUAGGCUAAGCCCACAGGGGGUCCUGAAUAAGUGAACGAACAAUGCACUGACACGGGCGGGACUCAUGACCUUGUCUGCAUCUUCUCACUUCGUCCCCACAGCACGAUGAACCCGCCCUGAUCUGCUCCCCGCCCCAGGCUUCCUGCACCUUGGUCGGCUGUGCUCCCUGCUGUGCCCUGAUGCCAGGAGCAGGGCCUGGCACAGCAAGGCCACCGCGGGGACGUGCUGGUGAACGGGUCCCCCACUGUGUGAGGAAGAAGAGCUGGUCUCUUAGUCUUGUCCGUCUACUUACGUCCACUUGAACUUCCACAGUCCUUGGUUUACGGUCUGGGCUGCAAACAACAUCAGCGG